GACGAACGCUGGCGGCGCGCUUAACACAUGCAAGUCGAACGGAAAGGCCUGCUUUCCCUUGUGGAUUGCGGGUACUCGAGUGGCGAACGGGUGAGUAACACGUGAGUGAUCUGCCCCCAACUUGGGUAUAAGCCUGGGAAACUGGGUCUAAUUCCCGAUAGGACUGCAGGGUGGUGCCUGUGGUGGAAAACGAUUUUCUAGUGGUUGGGGAUGAGCUCGCGGCCUAUCAGCUUGUUGGUGGGGUAAUGGCCUACCAAGGCGGCGACGGGUAGCCGGCCUGAGAGGGUGGACGGCCACAUUGGGACUGAGAUACGGCCCAGACUCCUACGGGAGGCAGCAGUGGGGAAUAGUGCACAAUGGGCGGAAGCCUGAUGCAGCGACGCCGCGUGGGGGAUGACGGCCUUCGGGUUGUAAACUCCUUUCGACCGCGAGGAAGCCACCUGGUGGGAAGGGUGGUGACGGUAGUGGUAGAAGAAGCACCGGCUAACUACGU
rnacentral:rRNA from 1 species